GUAGGUGGCAAGCGUUGUCCGGAAUUAUUGGGCGUAAAGCGCGCGCAGGCGGUUCUUUGAGUCUGAUGUGAAAGCCCACGGCUCAGCCGUGGAGGGUCAUUGGAAACUGGAGAACUUGAGUACAGAAGAGGAAAGCGGAAUUCCACGUGUAGCGGUGAAAUGCGUAGAGAUGUGGAGGAGCACCAGUGGCGAAGGCGGCUUUCUGGUCUGUAACUGACGCUGAGGCGCGAAAGCGUGGGGGGAGCAAACAGGAUUAGAUACCCUGGUAGUCCACGCCGUAAACGAUGAGUGCUAAGUGUUAGGGGGUUUCCCGCCCCUUAGUGCUGCAGCUAACGCAUUAAGCACUCCGCCUGGGAGUACGGCCGCAAGGCUG
rnacentral:rRNA from 1 species